GAUGAACGCUGGCGGCGUACCUAAUACAUGCAAGUCGAGCGGACGGACGAGAAGCUUGCUUCUCGGAUGUUAGCGGCGGACGGGUGAGUAACACGUGGAUAACCUACCUAUAAGACGGGGAUAACUUCGGGAAAGCGGAGAUAAUACCGGAGAAGAUUUUGAACCGCAGGGUGCAAAGGAGAGAGACGGUGGUGCGGGAAGGAAUAGAGGGAUCCGCGCUGCAUGAGCUGGUUGGUAAGGUAAAGGCUUACCAAGGGAACUAUGCAUAGCCGACCUGAUGGGGUGAUCGGCCACCCUGGAACUUGGCCACGGUCCAGACUCCUACGGGAGGCAGCAGUCGGGAAUCUUCCGCAGUGGGCGAAAGCCUGACGGAGCAACGCCGCGUGAGUGAUGAAGGUCUUCCGAUCGUAAAACUCUGUUAUUAGGGAAGAACAUAUGUGUAAUUAACUGUGCCCAUCUUGACGGUAACUAAUCAGAAAGCCACGGCUAACUACGUG
rnacentral:rRNA from 1 species